AUGAGGCCGUCGAUCGUGCUGUUCGGCGACUCCAUCACGGAGGAGUCGUUCGGGGAGGGCGGGUGGGGCGCGCACCUGGCGAACCACUACUCGCGCUCCGCCGACGUCGUGCUCCGGGGCUACAGCGGCUACAACACCCGCUGGGCGUCCCUGGUGGCCGACCGCGCAUUCUCCGCCAUCCCGGCGUCGGCGGCCGUCGCCGCCGUCACCGUCUUCUUCGGCGCCAACGACGCGUCGCUCCCCGACCGCGCAAGCGCGUUCCAGCACGUGCCACUCCCAGAGUACCGGGACAACCUGCGCGCCAUCUGCGCGCUGCUCCGCGCGCGCUGGCCGUCGGCGGCGCUCAUCCUCAUCACGCCGCCCCCCGUCGACGAGCGCGGCCGCGUCCGAUUCCCGCGCAACGGGGACGCGUCCGGCCUGCCCGAGCGGACCAACGAGGCGGCCGGGCGGUACGCGCGGGCGUGCGUGGAGGUGGCCGCGCAGUGCGGGCUCCGGGCUAUCGACCUCUGGUCCAGGAUGCAGGAGUUCCCCGGGUGGGAGACGGCGUUCCUCAGGGACGGGCUGCACCUCACGCCGACGGGCAACCGGCUGCUGUUCGAGGAGGUGGUGUUCGCGCUGAGGGACGCCAACCUCAGCCUGGAGGCGCUCCCCGCCGACCUGCCGCUCUGCAGCGACAUCGACCCCGACAACGCCGUCAGGUGCUUCGAGGAGUGA
rnacentral:rRNA from 1 species